rnacentral:rRNA from 1 species
CACACUGCCCGUCACGCCAUGGAAGUUGGUUUUACCUUAAGUCGAUAUGCUAACCGCAAGGAGGCGAGUCGCCCACGGUAGUGCCAAUGACUGGGGUG